rnacentral:misc_RNA from 1 species
AAGUCGUAACAAGGUAACCGUAGGUGAACCUGCGGUUGGAUCAUUAGAGUAUAAACAAUAAAGGGGAAAAAUAACGCAGCAAGCAUGUCAAAGUGUUUAUUGCCCAUUUUCCCCCUUUGUUUAAACCCCAACUACCCGGUAACCGUUUCCUGUAUUUUGGUUUGUUGCUUUUAGAGUCUUAAUUAUAAAGGGGGAGGCAAGAAGGCGGGGGAAGAGGCCCUUUUCGUUAAGGGCAUUUUCCCCCCCCUAAAAGUUUUCCCUGGGGCUCGCCAAACAGCAAACCAGCCCAUGUUUUUAUAUACGUUUGUUUCUUUGUCCAACCUUUAUGUCGGUAAAAGCCAGUUUCUUCUUUUUUGAGGCAACUAGCUUUUUAUAUAUAUAUAAUGAGAACAACUUUUGACAAUGGAUCUCUUGGCUCUC